rnacentral:tRNA from 1 species
GGGGUUGUGGCUCAGCGGUAGAGUGCUCGCCUCGCAUGUGCGAGACCCUGGGUUUGAUCCUCAGUACCACA